UACGUAGGCAGCGAGCGUUGUUCGGAGUUACUGGGCGUAAAGAGUGCGUAGGCGGUUUUCUAAGUUUGGUGUGAAAUCUCCCGGCUUAAACUGGGAGGGUGCGCCGAAGACUGGAAGGCUUGAGUAUGGGAGAGGUAAGCGGAAUUCCUGGUGGUAGCGGUGAAAUGCGCAGAUAUCAUUUGGAACGCCAAUGGUGAAAACAGGUUGCUGGGAGUGUGCUGACGCUGAGACACGAAAGCCAGGGGAGCGAACGGG
rnacentral:rRNA from 1 species